rnacentral:misc_RNA from 1 species
AACGCACAUUGCGCCUCUCGGUAUUCCGGGAGGCACGCCUGUUCGAGCGCCAUUACAAACUCCAAGCAAAGCUUGAUGUUGGGCGAUGUCCGCUGUUGUAGAUGGACCAGCCUGGAACGUGUGGGCUCCGACGGUGGAACCUCAAGCGUAGCAAGACGAAAGUCACCUCGCUUCUGAUGGAUCUGUCGAUCGGACGUGCCUUGUUUUGGUCGUCACUCUUCGAUGAGAGAUGACUAGUUUGAUAGUUUGGCCUCGGAUCAGGCGGGGAUACCCGCUGAACUUAA